rnacentral:rRNA from 1 species
UACGUAGGGGGCAAGCGUUGUCCGGAUUUAUUGGGCGUAAAGAGCUCGUAGGCGGUUUGUCGCGUCUGCUGUGAAAAUCCAGGGCUUAACCCUGGACCUGCAGUGGGUACGGGCAGACUAGAGUGCGGUAGGGGAGAUCGGAAUUCCUGGUGUAGCGGUGAAAUGCGCAGAUAUCAGGAGGAACACCGGUGGCGAAGGCGGAUCUCUGGGCCGUAACUGACGCUGAGGAGCGAAAGCAUGGGGAGCGAACAG